UGCCUCUCAGGAUUACAGCUGGAGAGUUUCCAGUACUCUACCAGUCUCAGCUAAUGGAGGGAGAGUCAAGCAGGGGCAUACCCAUUCCACUCCAAGCUUGGCUAGUGGCUAGCGAGUGGAAGGCAAGCUGCUACAAGU